CAUGCUAGACGAGUACUCUGCCACUAAGCCACAUUCCCAGCCCUGGGCACUGGAGGAUACUGGAAGGAAGAGUCAUAUGUGGGGAUAAUGAGUAUAAGGAGGAGCUGAGUUUGGAUUUGGGCCCAGGCACAUGGGGUUCUGUAACUGCAGGCCUAGAAAGGAGUGAGAGCAGGAUGGGGUGGCCUGUGUAACUAUCUAGAUGAGGCUCUUCCAUGUUGGGCCCUCACUGACUUCAAGGCUGAUUUCCAGAUCACAAGCAUGAAGCUGAGUCCAAAGGAACAGCCUGGGCCGGGCCCCCUG